UACGGGGGGGAGCAAGCGUUGUUCGGAUUUACUGGGCGUAAAGCGCGCGUAGGCGGCUUGACAAGUCGAGUGUGAAAUCCCCGGGCUUAACCUGGGACCUGCAUUCGAAACUGUCUUGCUAGAGUAUGGGAGAGGGAAGUGGAAUUUCAGGUGUAGCGGUGAAAUGCGUAGAUAUCUGAAGGAACAUCAGUGGCGAAAGCGACUUCCUGGACCAAUACUGACGCUCAGUGU
rnacentral:rRNA from 1 species